UGCCCCUCACUUGCCAAUACGUCUAGAUCAGCCAGGGCGUCGGCAUGUGUAGCGUAUUAUGUUGGGCUCUCUCGAGAUAAGGAUACGAUGUCCCUUUAUCGGUUGGUUUCCUGUAUGCGCGUCCCGUUCGUUUUUUUUGUUACUUUCGCAUCGUUCGGUGCAUUCUGGGGGCUGUGUUGGCUUUUGGUGGCUUGCUUGGCCUUUUGGCUUUGCUUGUUGCUACUUGUCAGGCUGCUUUCGGGAAUGUCGACCGUGGAGGUGCAUGAGUGGUGUUUGGUUUGUUACGUGUGGAUGGCUGUUUGCUUGUGCAACAACGUUCACGCUGCAUACCUCUUCAGUUUUGCGGCAAGGCUUGGUUUGGCUUGUGCAUAUUGUGGGUUUCCUGUGUUGCAUACCUAGUUGAUGGAAAAGUGUGGGUUUUACGAUUUUCAUUUUCGUCUUGCGUCGUUCUUUUGGCGUGGGAUGAACAAUGAAGCGAUCUUUAUGAUCCAUCGUGCUGUUGCGUUUGCAACAAUGAUGUGGCCUAUGAAGCAUCGUUUGGUCUCUUGUAUACGGAAGCUCAUUUGGGCUUGGGUCUUUAUAAGAUCUUCGUUAUGCCCUUGUUAAGCGUUCUCGCUUCUCCUAAACGAUUG
rnacentral:misc_RNA from 1 species